AGUUUAGCUGAUUGGUGCCGGCAGCCCCUUUUCGCUUCUGGCGCCGUCUCAGGGCUUUGCCGAGCGAGGCGGUGCGGGUGCCCCGUUGCUUCUAAUCUCUUUUCCGCUCUCGUUGUUCCUCUGCUUGCUGCUUGAGGCUCAACCCUAUUGUAAUGGGACCUCGUUUCCUCGGAAGGCGUCCUUGAAGGUUUUAGUCCGUGAGCCCGCCGCUGCAAAGUAUGGAGGCGGGAAUCAGGUGCUAUAUUCACAUUUGGGAAAAGCAAAUUUGCAGAAAAUGUGCCUAGCAAGUUUUGGUUUAAAAAUGAUAAGCCUUUAUACAUAUCAUGUGGAGAUGAACAUACAUCGGUUGUUACAGAAAAUGGUAAACUAUACAUGUUUGGAAGCAACAACUGGGGACAACUAGGCCUUGGAACAAAGAAUACUGUCAGGAAGCCAACUUGUGUGAAAGUUCUAAAACCUGAAAAAGUGAAACUAGUUGCUUGUGGGAGAAAUCAUACUUUGAUCUAUACAGGUAUGUAAAUUAUUUGUUUAUAUGCCA